rnacentral:rRNA from 1 species
GACGAACGCUGGCGGCGUGCUCAACACAUGCAAGUCGAACGAUGAAAGCUGGAGCUUGCUCCGGCUGGAUUAGUGGCGAACGGGUGAGUAACACGUGAGCAAUCUGCCCUUGACUCUGGGAUAACUCUGAGAAAUCGGUGCUAAUACCGGAUAUGACCCUUGGCGGCAUCGCUGGGGGUGGAAAGUUUUUCGGUCAAGGAUGAGCUCGCGGCCUAUCAGCGUGUUGGUGAGGUAAUGGCUCACCAAGGCGACGACGGGUAGCCGGCCUGAGAGGGUGACCGGCCGCACUGGGACUGAGACACGGCCCAGACUCCUACGGGAGGCAGCAGUGGGGAAUAUUGCACAAUGGGCGCAAGCCUGAUGCAGCAACGCCGCGUGGGGAUGACGGCCUUCGGGUUGUAAACCUCUUUUAGCAGGGAAGAAGCGAAAGUGACGGUACCUGCAGAAAAAGCACCGGCUAACUACGUGCCAGCCGCCGCAGUAA